UACGUAGGUGGCAAGCGUUGUCCGGAUCUACUGGGCGUAAAGGAUGCGUAGGCGGACAUUUAAGUCAGAUGUGAAAUACCCGAGCUUAACUUGGGUGCUGCAUUUGAAACUGGGUGUCUAGAGUGCAGGAGAGGUAAGUGGAAUUCCUAGUGUAGCGGUGAAAUGCGUAGAGAUUAGGAAGAACAUCAGUGGCGAAGGCGACUUACUGGACUGUAACUGACGCUGAGGCAUGAAAGCGUGGGGAGCAAACAGG
rnacentral:rRNA from 1 species